CAAGAGCAGAUCCCGUCAGGCAGACAGACCUGCAAAAAUCAGCCGUCAGAGAUCAGCGCAACUUCGCAUCGGCCAUUGAGAGGGGUUUGACGAUACUAACGUUAGUCAAAGGCGACAGGACCUAAAAUACACAAAGGGAAAUGGCAGGUAUUUUGGUUUGGUUUUGGAACGAGAGAUUUUGGCUCCCUCAUAACGUAACCUGGGCUGACUUAAAAAACACUGAUGAGGCAACCUUCCCGCAAGCCGAGGAUCUGUAUCUAGCCUUUCCUUUGGCAGUCUGCAUCUUUAUGAUUCGGCUCGUUUUCGAAAGGGUUAUUGCGCGACCAUGUGCCUUGGGUUUAAAGAUACAGGCAAAUGGGCCGCAGAAAGCCCAGCCCAAUGCUAUCCUUGAGAAGGUCUUCACUGCCAUCACCAAGCACCCGGAUGAAAAGAGGUUAGAGGGCCUCUCCAAACAGCUGGACUGGGAUGUGCGGACCAUCCAGCGCUGGUUCCGACAGCGCCGGAACCAGGAGAAGCCUAGCACCCUGACCCGUUUCUGCGAGAGCAUGUGGAGAUUCACGUUUUAUCUGUAUAUAUUCACAUACGGAGUGCGGUUCCUGAAAAAGACACCCUGGCUAUGGAACACAAGAGAAUGCUGGUACAAUUACCCUUAUCAGCCUCUGACGGUGGACCUGCAUUACUACUAUAUAGUGGAGCUGUCUUUCUACCUGUCUCUAUUGUUUUCUCAAUUCACGGACAUCAGAAGGAAGGACUUUUUGAUCAUGUUCAUGCAUCACCUCGCGACGAUCUCCCUCAUCACCUUCUCCUAUGUCAACAACAUGGCGCGAGUGGGGACUCUGGUCAUGUGUCUGCACGACUCCGCCGACAUUCUGCUGGAGGCUGCUAAAAUGGCCAACUACGCCAAGUGCCAGAGGCUCUGUAACCUCAUAUUCGUCAUGUUUUCACUGGUAUUUAUAAGUUCCAGGCUCGGCGUUUAUCCUGUCUGGAUACUGAACACGACCCUGUUUGAGAGCUGGGAGAUCGUGGGGCCGUUCCCCUCCUGGUGGGUCUUCAACUUCCUGCUCCUGCUGCUGCAGGUGCUGCACUCCUUCUGGUGUUACCUCAUCGUGAGAAUCGCCUGCAGAGCCGUUUCCCGGGGGAAGGUGAGAGCCGCCCCUCACGGCUGCAACCGGGGCCGCUGUCCUCAGGCGGCGCCCUGCGGAACCUCAGCAUCGGCAAACCCGUUCAGCCCUACAUCAGCCCUCACGAUUAUUUACUGCCUGAUGGAAGCACCACCAGGGAAUCAUCAUCGAUCGCUCGGCAUGAAAGCAUGUUAUGGAAAAGAUGUCUAUAGCAUGUGUAGCAUUCUGUACGUAAGAGUAUUGACCUAUGAAAAUGGCUCAAAGGGCCUUUUUUUCCCCCUGUAAUUUACAUAAAUCACAUGGCUCCAGCAGCAGCGUGUUUCCUACAUGAGAUUGCAACAUGUAGUACAUACUCUGACAAGCAGGUGGUCAGCGCACAUCAAUCACUGCACCCUGUCCAGCUCCCCAGCAAAUGGAAGUGGAGUGCCUUUCUGUGACGUUGGCCGUGGUUGAGAGUGCUCUUGUUCUCGCUAGCCUUCUCUCAUUGAGUGUCUUUCUUUUGUCUGUUGUGCCGGCGUGGAAGGCGGGGAAAUGGAACCCUUUGCAUGUGUCAAAGGACGACCGAAGCGACAUCGAGACCAGCUCCGACGAGGACGAGGUCCCGCCCCCGAG